GAUGAACGCUGGCGGCGUGCUUAACACACGCAAGUCGAACGGGAAACCUUUUAUUGAAGCUUCGGCAGAUUUAGCUGGUUUCUAGUGGCGGACGGGUGAGUAACGCGUGGGUAACCUGCCUUAUACAGGGGGAUAACAGUCAGAAAUGGCUGCUAAUACCGCAUAAGCGCACAGAGCUGCAUGGCUCAGUGUGAAAAACUCCGGUGGUAUAAGAUGGACCCGCGUUGGAUUAGCUGGUUGGUGGGGUAACGGCCCACCAAGGCGACGAUCCAUAGCCGGCCUGAGAGGGUGAACGGCCACAUUGGGACUGAGACACGGCCCAGACUCCUACGGGAGGCAGCAGUGGGGAAUAUUGCACAAUGGGGGAAACCCUGAUGCAGCGACGCCGCGUGAAGGAAGAAGUAUCUCGGUAUGUAAACUUCUAUCAGCAGGGAAGAUAAUGACGGUACCUGACUAAGAAGCCCCGGCUAACUACGU
rnacentral:rRNA from 1 species